GAUGAACGCUGGCGGCGUGCUUAACACAUGCAAGUCGAACGGACUUAUGUUGAAACCUAGUGAUAUAUAAGUUAGUGGCGGACGGGUGAGUAACGCGUGGAUAACCUGCCAUAUACAGGGGGAUAACACUUAGAAAUAGGUGCUAAUACCGCAUAAGCGCACAGCUUCGCAUGAAGCAGUGUGAAAAACUCCGGUGGUAUAUGAUGGAUCCGCGUCUGAUUAGCUGGUUGGCGGGGUAACGGCCCACCAAGGCGACGAUCAGUAGCCGGCCUGAGAGGGUGAACGGCCACAUUGGGACUGAGACACGGCCCAAACUCCUACGGGAGGCAGCAGUGGGGAAUAUUGCACAAUGGGGGGAAACCCUGAUGCAGCGACGCCGCGUGAGUGAAGAAGUAUUUCGGUACGUAAAGCUCUAUCAGCAGGGAAGAAAAUGACGGUACCUGACUAAGAAGCCCCGGCUAACUACGUG
rnacentral:rRNA from 1 species